rnacentral:rRNA from 1 species
CAUUCGCCGCGGUAAAACGUAGGUGGCAAGCGUUGUCCGGAAUUAUUGGGCGUAAAGGGCUCGCAGGCGGUUUCUUAAGUCUGAUGUGAAAGCCCCCGGCUCAACCGGGGAGGGUCAUUGGAAACUGGGGAACUUGAGUGCAGAAGAGGAGAGUGGAAUUCCACGUGUAGCGGUGAAAUGCGUAGAGAUGUGGAGGAACACCAGUGGCGAAGGCGACUCUCUGGUCUGUAACUGACGCUGAGGAGCGAAAGCGUGGGGAGCGAACAGGAUUAGAUACCCGCGUAGUCCCUGUCUCUUAUAC